GCUUCCUUAGUUCAAUGGUAGAACGUUGUCUUUACACGGCAAGCGUCGGUGGUUCGAUUCCAUCAGGAAGUACCA
rnacentral:tRNA from 1 species